AUGAAGAAAAACUCAUCAUCAUCGUCUCCUAGAAGUUUUACAGUUUCAUGUUGGGGUUAUCUCAAGUUGAAGCUUCCUUGGACGAAGAGAAAAAGCACUUGCAACAAAUCAGUUGGUGGUUUUGGCUAUGAUCCUUUAAGCUACGCUCAGAACUUUGAUGAAGGUUUUAAGGAGGACGACGAAGAAUCUUCGUUUCAUAGAUUCUCUGCUAGAUAUGCAGCACCUUCAUGUUCAAUUAAAUCGAUCAAGUAA